rnacentral:lncRNA from 1 species
GAAGGAUUCCAUGCCCGGCUGGAGGACAAAUCCUGCUGCUCUGAUGUCCUCCUGCACCUCUCUGAGGUUUUUGUGGUGACAUCUGA